AACGAACGCUGGCGGCAUGCCUAACACAUGCAAGUCGAACGGGAUCCUAGCUUGCUAGGUGAGAGUGGCGGACGGGUGAGUAACACGUGGGAAUCUGCCUUUUGGUUCGGGAUAACCGCGGGAAACUGCGGCUAAUACCGAAUGCCCUCGAGAGAGGAAAGAUUUAUCGCCAGAAGAGGAGCCCGCGUCCGAUUAGGUAGUUGGUGGGGUAAAGGCCUACCAAGCCGACGAUCGGUAGCUGGUCUGAGAGGAUGAUCAGCCACACUGGGACUGAGAUACGGCCCAGACUCCUACGGGAGGCAGCAGUGGGAAUAUUGGACAAUGGGGGCAACCCUGAUCCAGCAAUGCCGCGUGAGUGAUGAAGGCCUUAGGGGUUGUAAAAGGCUCUUUUUGCCAGGGAAGAUGAUGACUGUACCUGGAGAAUAAGCCCCGGCUAACUUCGUGCCAGCAGCCGCGGUAAU
rnacentral:rRNA from 1 species